rnacentral:lncRNA from 1 species
UCUCCCGGAGAGGCUGAUCGGCGUCGAAGGUUACACGCGGACCACCGGGAGGGACAGGGAGAACGGCGGGGGAGUCGAAGACGGUGUUUCGGGAGAAAUCAGGAAGGUGUUUGAUCUUGCAAGCGCCGCUAGUUGCGUCAGCGAAGGUGUUGAAGAAUUGCCAGAAGGAAGUUCCAUCUGUAACGGAAUGAUUAACGGUGCAUCCGAUGAAGACGCCGUCGUCUAGCUCCGUCACUUGGACGGCGGAGAGAGGCUUAUGGUGGCCGUUGUAGCUGACGAGGCGCUCGAAAACGAAAAACUCGCGGACGAGAAGAGGAACGUCUUUACCGGGAGAGAGAACGUCGGAGACGGUGAUGUGUUUGGCGGAAGCAGCGACGAAUUCAACUCCGGAGUCGUUGCAGGUGAUGUAGAUGUGACCGGAGGGACUGGUGGAGAAACGGCCGGCUAAGGCAGGGAAAAGAGAGAGGGUGGAGGAGAGUGAACGGCGGAGAGAGGAGACAAGGUCGUCGAAGGAGAAGGAAGGAGGAGGGCGACUGAGGAGCACGCCCUUCUGAAUGUAAUGGCAUGAGAGCAUAGGGAGAUCGGAGACGGAGAGACGGAGAUCGGCCACGGUGGACCUCUUCUCCGGAUACACAAUGCAUUUCGAGAUUUCUGUUACUGAACAAGAAGGCAUUUUGUAAAGAAACAAACAAAAUAUGUAAAAGAAGAUAUUGAUUUGGGAGCUGUGGUGAUUGCCGUAUUGGUGAGGAGAAGAGUCAUGGGAGCAAGGGGGUUUAUAUAGUGGUCUUGUCGGAGCAAAGUUGCGUCAGCGAAGGUGUUGAAGAAUUGCCAGAAGGAAGUUCCAUCUGUAACGGAAUGAUUAACGGUGCAUCCGAUGAAGACGCCGUCGUCUAGCUCCGUCACUUGGACGGCGGAGAGAGGCUUAUGGUGGCCGUUGUAGCUGACGAGGCGCUCGAAAACGAAAAACUC